ACCUACCAAUGUGGAGUGGUCUGCCUCUUUCUUUGGUCUCUCUUUUCCCUCCAUAUAGGGGCGCCAGUUUCAAAUUUCACCUAGGGAACUCCUGAGGUUUCGAACCUACAGAGGGUGGGACCCUCAUUUCAGGAUUAGUGCCCUUAUAAGAGGGAGAGAGAGAUUGCUCUCUCUCUCCAGGCAUGAGCAAAGAAGUCCUGUUAGCACAUAGCGUGUUAAUGGCUGCCUGCAAGCCAAGAGAAGAGGCCUAUCUUGUCAGCACCUUGAUCUUGGACUUCCAAGCUUCCAGAACUGUGAAAAAUAAAUUUCUUUUGUUUAAGCCACCUAGUCUAUGGUAUUUUGUUAUGGCAGCACAGACUGACUGAGACAGAUUUUGGUAAUGAAUAAAGAUUUGGAUCAUUCCACAGGUAAAGAACCACGACAGCCGAGGUGCUUGCUAAAGGCAAAAGCAGUAUAGAACGAGUAGUGGAAGAAGCUCUGAGGAGCAAAGCAUGGUCCCAGCAAGCAAGAAGCUGACACAGUGGCAGAGGAAUUCAUCAAGGAGUAAGGUCGGGUGGGGAAACAACACCAUGGUAGAAUGCAAGAAGUACCAGAAUAAAGGUAUAUUCAUGAGUGAUUUAUCACCUAUCCCAAGACAGGGAUCUUAUCGAGUCCUCAAUAAAUAAUAAAACAAAACUAGUUAACACAAAACCUCUCUAAAAAAUUCAUAUUAUAUCUUUUCACUUGGUUGCUGUUUAGUUCCCAUCUUUCUAGCUGGCUGAGCUCCACAUUGGGUGGGGGCACUUUAUCAGACCUGUGGUUUUUGCCUGGCACCACAGCCCUCCACCCUUCCUCUGGGGAGACUACUUCCCUUUCCCCCUGGGCAAAUGCACUACCUCAUUCCAUGCAGCCUCGUGGGGUCUCCCUUCCUGACAAAGGGGCAGCACAAGAAAACUUACAGAUAGAAGGCAAUUUCUUCUACACCCUUUUCAAAGGCAGUGCUCUUGGCCUGUCCAAGGAUUUUCAGCUGAGAUCCAUGGAAUGUCUCUAGUUCUCACCUUUUGCAGGGCAUGGUCAUUCACCUUUUCCUACCAUCCCAUAAACCAGUGCAUUAACUUCCUAUGCCUGCUGUAACAAAUUACCACAGAUUUAGUGGCUUAAAG